rnacentral:rRNA from 1 species
UACGUAGGGGGCAAGCGUUGUCCGGAAUCAUUGGGCGUAAAGCGCGCGUAGGCGGCCAGAUUAGUCCGGUGUGAAAGUCAGAGGCUCAACCUUUGAAUGCCGCUGGAAACUGUCUGGCUUGAGUCCGGAAGGGGCGAGUGGAAUUCCUGGUGUAGCGGUGAAAUGCGCAGAUAUCAGGAGGAACACCAAUAGCGAAGGCAGCUCGCUGGGACGUUACUGACACUGAGGCGCGAAAGCGUGGGGAGCGAACAGG